rfam:Clostridium sp. CAG:127 genomic scaffold, scf99
UAUGUUUGAAACUUAGAAGUUUUUGAUGCUCCAUCUGUGUACAGCAAUGUUUGAACAGGAAGUUCAAACAAGCCACCACUGAGCCAUGGAUGGCGAAUUGGUGGCGGUUGCGUAUGAGUUUGGUAUGUAUAUUGGAGCAUCUAGAACUACUUAGUUUCAAUACAU